AGGGGGAAGCCAGCUGCCAUGCUGUGAGGAUAUUCAGGCAAACCUGUGGAGGGGCUCAUGUGGCAAAGAGCUGAAGCCUUCUGGUCAGGCCAGUGAGGAGCAGUGGCAUCCUUCCAGCAGCCAUUGGCACCAUUCCAUGAUCUGGCAGCUGGAGCAGCAGGAGGGGAGGGGCCAAGUGGAUGCCAGGAACCUGAUAGCCAAUGGAAAGGAAAGAUAAGGAGGACAGUUGGAACCGCAUGGGUGACAGAAGGUGACCUGGAGGGAAGGUCUUUAGACAAACUCAACCAAU